rnacentral:rRNA from 1 species
GUCGAGUGCGCGGUUGUAGCAAUACAACUGGCGCACGGCGCACGGGUGCGUAACACGUGGGUAACCUGCCCUUUGGUGGGGAAUAACUCCGCGAAAGCGGAGCUAAUUCCGCAUAAGAUCCGCAAGGAUGAAAGCCGCAAGGCGCCGAUGGAGGGGCCCGCGCCCGAUUAGCUAGUUGGUGAGGUAAUGGCUCACCAAGGCUUUGAUCGGUAGCUGGUCUGAGAGGAUGGCCAGCCACACUGGAACUGAGACACGGUCCAGACUCCUACGGGAGGCAGCAGUGGGGAAUCUUGCACAAUGGGCGAAAGCCUGAUGCAGCGACGCCGCGUGGGGGAUGAAGCAUUUCGGUGUGUAAACCCCUUUCGAUCCGGACGAAACCCCGCAAGGGACUGACUGUACGGAUAUAAGAAGCCCCGGCUAACUACGUGCCAGCAGCCGCGGUAAGACGUAGGGGGCCAGCGUUGUUCGGAAUUACUGGGUGUAAAGGGUUCGUAGGCGGUGUAGCAAGUCGGGAGUGAAAUCUCUGGGCUUAACCCAGAGGCUGCUUCCGAAACUGCUGUGCUUGAGUGUGGGAGAGGCGCGUGGAAUUGCAGGUGUAGCGGUGAAAUGCGUAGAUAUCUGCAGGAACACCCGUGGCGAAAGCGGCGCGCUGGACCACUACUGACGCUGAGGAACGAAAGCUAGGGGAGCAAACAGGAUUAGAUACCCUGGUAGUCCUAGCCCUAAACGAUCA